GAGGGGCGCGGCGUGCGCCAUCUUGGUGCGUAGGGAAGGGGGGGGUCCCAAGCUCCAGCCGGGACACGCACACAAUCGGCGAGGCUGGAGGACGCUGGGAUGCUGCUGCUUUAUUUUGGAAGCCAGAAACCGAGCGAAUGCUGCUUUCUCUGCCAGAAACCAUCUUCGGGGAGGAGCCUGAUGCGGGAGUAGUGAUGAAGAAGCCCCGUAGCACACUUCUCUCUAGCCCAAGUCUCUGCUGUGCUUCCCUCCUCGCCCUGGCUCAUCUCAAGGCCUUUCACUUCCUGAAAAGGCACAGCUAUGCAUUGACUGGGAGUUGUGCCUCAGUUUCUCCACUUGGUUCUCCUGACGAUAAGUAGUUGACUUUGCCCCUUACCACAUUCCCUUGGGUGGUAUAUUACGCGCGCGGACACACACACCUCGAAGAACUAUCUGAGGUCGUUGGCGCUCCUGUCAGGCCAAAGGUAGGAAACGUAGAGAUUUCCCGAGCUGGCAGCCAGAAGACAGGAAGAUAGCUCCGAGGCAGAGCCCUUGCCUAGGCCCUAAAUCAAAUCCCUAAUGCCACAAAGUACGAGUGGUUUUGUUGUGUUGUUGUUGUUGUUUUGAGUCAGUGGGAGGGGAUGUCUCACUAUGUAGCUCUGAAAGGCCUGAAAUUCUCAGAGACCCUAGGCGUGCUCCAUCACUUCCGAGUCAAACUUAAACUGGGUUUUGUUUGUUAAAAAGAUUCACUCUUAAACCGGGCGUGGUGGCGCAUGCCUUUGGUCCCAGCGUGCGCCUUCGAUCCCAGCACUCCGAGGCAGAGGCAGGCGGAUUUCUGAAUUGGAGGCCAGCCUGGUCUACAAAAAGUUCCAGGACAGCCAGAGCUAUACAGAGAAACCCUGUCUCGAAAAACCAUUAAAAAAAAAAAAGAUUCACUCUUGUUAGGUGUGUUGAGUAACACGCUGAAGUCAAAGCCGUUAUGGUCUGCAUAGAAGAUUUCAGUACUCCAUAGGGAGACCUCGUCUUAAGACGAAAAAGUGAAGAAGGGAGAGUAGAGGAAACCAAGCUUCUCUCGAGAAGCUCCCAGGCCCUACCCCUCAAAGGAUCCUAGGAUCCCUCCACCCACCCGAUUCUAGAAACCUUCCCAAAGCCAGCGUGCACACCCUCUGGCGGCUCCUUUAAGGAACUGCGUGCCUGGAAGCUCCCAGGGUAGAAGACCAGUCUGGAGUCCUUCAGGAGUGGUAAACAGAAGUGUCCUAGUCUGGCAUAGUAAUACAAAGAAUAUCUGUCUUGCGUGCUGGCCAGCUCAUGGUGCUCUUGCAGAGUGGGAUAAGAUUGGUCCUUGUCACAGCUUACACUCCAGCUGAGCUAGAGUAACCAAGUCUGAAGCCUUGAGUUGAGAUGCCAUCACCUUUGGAAAUGGUUCUAAAUCCUCAGGAUGGUGCAGAGCCACCAGGAGCUGGUAUUCGGCUGUGCCCAGGGUGGCCCCCACCAUAGGAGCCACUGGAGGCACCCACCACCAGCCAUUACCAGCGCUGUAAUGGAAAGACAAAGGGAGGGGUCAGAGGUGGCUCUUAGACACACCUCUUCCCAUAAGCCAGGACUAGUAAGGCAGGCCCUCACACUAUUCCUGUCAUGACAUCCAACAGUGAGCAUGGGUUCACAUUCAUGAAUGGGAAGCACUUAGGAAGCAACCCCCAGCAGAACUUAGUCCAACCUCUAGUCUUGCAGAAUAAACUGAAUAGACUUUUUUACGGAUGGAGUCACUAAAGCCCAAAGUAGUAGUAUGGCAUGCCCAAGGACACCUCUGAACCUACUAUAUGCAUGAAAAGGGGGAGGGGGGAUGCAGGAGAGCUAUGAAGGAAGGGAGAACUUGCCAGCUGAAGAAGGAACACUGUUCUAAGAAUACAAGGGCAGUAUGUAAGUGGAUAGAACUCAGGUUGGACAUGGUAGCACAUGCCUUCAAUCCCAGCACAUGGAGGGAUCUCUGCCAGCCUGGUACAUAGUGAAACCCUGUCUCAAAAAAAAAAGGGGGGGGGAGGAAUCUGGAGAACCAUGGACAAAGCUAUUAAUAGGGGUAAAUGGAGGACUGUACCAAGGGAAGCUGUCUCCUACCUGAAGACGCCAGGGCCCCAGCCAGCAAAGUAGUGAAGAUCCUUGGGCCCAGGUCCCGGGCAGGGUUGAGUGGAAAGCCACAGUUUGCACCCAUGGAUAGUCCAAUGGUGAGGAUCAGCAGUCCCACCACCACCGGCUCCAGACCUGCAGGCGCUC
rnacentral:lncRNA from 1 species